GAACAGUUACAUGUUAUGUCAAUUUCAUUAAAAAUAACAUAAAUACAUGGUUACAUGUAGUUAUGUGCAUGUAGGACAUGUCCGAAAUAUUCUUCUCCAUUCGCUAAAUGGAGAACAUUUAUAGAACAAAGUUGCAGGUGUUCUUCUGCAGUGCAGACACCAACUAGUUUUAGAAAAGGACAUUAGAAGAUUUUGUGACCGCAGUUACUAAAUUCUCUAUUGAACAGUGGUACCAGUUUGAAGAGUCGGUGUACUUUUAAUCACACCCUUUAUGGAUACGAAUUAACAAGGGAGGAAAUCCCAUGUCAUUAUUAGGGACCUAAAAAUUCAUUCUUAUUUUUUUCUUAGAUGAAUGACAGAUUUAAUUCGUUCUUUGUUUCUUUUGCCUUUUCAUAUUGCUAUUGUUAUAAUACAAAGGUUUCUUUUAUGAUUUCUUUGGGGAGGGAGGGAUCUGUGAAAAUACACAAUCCCAGGUUAUGUGAUUAUGGACCUUGCCAAGCUCCGCCCACAACCGACCUAGAAAAUCCCACGUGGCCGCAAGUCUCACAAACAAAGCCUCGCGGUGUGCUGUUUCUAUAUAAACAACAUCUUCCACUUCGACUGAUUCUCUGCAGUGUAUUUCUGACUCGAUUAGUGCAUCAUUUCUACCGGAUUUUCACAAUAUAUCAGCUACUACAAUGGACAGAGGAACUAAGAAGUUCAUGUCAUCUUUUUUGGAUGAGAUCAAGGUGUUUGAGCCACGAGAUGCCUCCAACAUUGUGCACGUCACAGCAAAAUGCUUUCACUCAAUAAGGAAAAGGGCAGAUCCACACACCCUCUGCAUCAAUAUAGCUGUGGACAAGAUCACUGAUGCCUAUAGUUCUUGCAAGGCUGGGUAAGUCAGGCAUUCAUCGUUUUGUAGGUUACUUUUGAAAUCAGUGGAUGAUUCCUGUGGUUUGUUGGCAAAUGUUUGAGUGUGCCUAGGUCUGAUACUAGCACCAAGUUAGCCACUUGGUGCUAGAGUGGCUAACAUGAGUAACAUGAGUUUAGUCCAAAGACUUUUCUGCUAAAAUAAAAUCUUUAGUGUAAGUCAGAUACAAUACACAUUGCAUAUUGAUCUGUUUAGCUAACAUAAGACUGAGUAGCUGACAGGCUUCAAGGUGUAGAAGUUGUAUCAGUACUGCCAUUAUGCUGUACUUAGCUAACGGGAAGCGUGUGUUUGUGAGACAGCCACGCACUAGGUAGCCGCACUACCACAUAGAAUGGGCAUCAGCCAAUGAAAAGCGGCCCCUGUGGUAAGGUCCAUUUUCAUCUUGGCCUCAGAACAUGAAUGUUAUCAAAUAAUGUAACAUCACCUGAUUAAAUCCUAAUAAUUUCUAAUUUCUAAUAAUAUGUCAUAGAUUCAGGGCCCACAGUUUAAAUGAUUUCAAGUAUCAUUUGAAACCCACGAAAACAGGACUUCAAAAAAUUAGAAUACUCUGAAGAAAUCACCCUAAACCACUUCUCAGUUUUUGUAGAAAAAAAAAAAGAAGAAAGACGUUAAAAUUAAAAUAUUGUUUUUAAACAUAUCUUGGUUGGGAAUCCCUUUGCCUGAAUCACUGCCCCGAUGCAAUUGCCUGGGAGUUAUGGAAGCCCAGAUUUCCUUGAUGCUUGCGGUCAGCUCUUCUUUGUUGUUGGGUCUGGUGCUCCUUAUUUUCCUCUGGAGUAAACCCCAUAGAUUCUCAAUGGGGUUUAGGUCCAGAGAAUUGGCUGGCCAAUCAAGUAUGGGCAUGGGCAUCAAACCAGGUUUUGGUGCUUCUGGUGGAAUGGACAGGGACCAGUUCCUGCUGGAAGAUGAAAUCUGCAUCGCCAUACAGGUCCUCAGCAGAAGGAACCACCAAAUCCUCUAAAACAUUCUGAUAUACUGUUGCAGUGACCUUGGGUUUAAGAAAGCAAUUUACCAACACAAUGUGCCCCAAAUCAUGACUGACUGUGGAUAUUUCAUACUGGACCUCAAGCAGUUUGAGUUCAGUUCCUCACCCGUCCUCCUCUAAGUCCUUGGAUCUUCAUCACCGAAUGAAAGGCACACUUUACUUUCACUGGAAAAGAGAACCUUUUCCAGUGAACCUUUUCCAGUGAACUGGGCCAAGGAGAAGAAGUCCAGCACUUCUUCUCCUUGGCCCAGUUGAGAAGCUUCCUACGUUGACUCAGGUUGAGAAGUGGCGUGACACGAGGAACCCGACAGUUGUAGCCCAUCUCUUGGAUGUGUUUGAUUGUGGUGGUUUUUGAAGCUAUGACUCCCGCCUCAUUCAGUUCUUUCUGGAUCUCUACCAGAUUCUUGAAUCUUCUUGGUUGUAGUCCAUGGUCAUCUCUUUGACUGGUGCAUCUUCUCCUGCUACAUUUUGCCCUUCCACUACACUUUCAAUUCAUAGACUUGGACAACAGUGACGUGUGGUCAGGGGAGGCAAGUGAGGCAGAGAAAAAUAAUAUAGAGUGAUAAGAUAAUUAGGUUCGAGCAGCUAAGAGAUGUGAAGUCCUAUUAUAAUCGUAGUGUUUAUUAUUAUAAGGCCCGAGCAGCAAAGUGCUGCAAAGGUGUAUUGUAAUCAUAGUGCUGAUUAUUAUUCCGAUUCCGCUUCCAUCAAAUGAAUUGGCUUUUUGGAGUCAAUUCAAAAACUCACCAAACUUCACCCAAAAUUGUCCCCCAAACAAAAUGUUCAAAGUCGGGUGUAAUUGCAAGUGGGCGUAGCCAAACUGCUCCACAGCGCCCCCUAACUACUACGGUGAAACCGUAGGUCGUAGAUAUCUGAAACUCGGUACAUAGGUAGAAUCCCCCAAGUCAAGAAAAAAAGUCUCUUGGAAGUGCCCCCAGUUAGGUGGCCAUUUUGGGUCAAAGGUCAAGUUGGGAGUCAAUUCAGCAAGAAUCCCGCCAUCAUGUUUCAGCUAAGAAAAGUAUUCUACUUUUAUUAUCACUUUGAGGAAAACUUUCUGUAAAAAACCCGAGUGAAAUAAUGCCUUCAAAAGGAUCCAAGACCAUGAUUAGACCGGAUGAACAGUUUGUAUUGCUCACGCAAGUUAAAGAGUUACUGAACCAGCAGAAGGAAUUGCACACAGAGUUGCUUCAACAAAAACAGGACAAUUUCUAAGGCUUUGUUAAAAUCAUUAUGGACACUACUGUUAAGUAAAAUAAUUAUUUACACUAUUACUUUUACUAACCAGCUUAUUCAUCAAAUUCUUACAUUUUAUCAUAUAUAUCUUAGUUAUUAAAGGUGAAGUUGUUCUCCUGUUCAGAGCUGCACCUGCAUCUUCCAGUUUCAGGAAAUCGUUUAGACAGGAAGCACCGACCACAUUCUGCAGAGUUUGCAGCUCGGUUCUCUCCAACAACUCAUUUUAUGUAUAGACAUCUAGCUGCUGACGAAGAAAUAGUAUUCAUACCUCUGUGGCUUGAACUAUUGAACUUAGGGGGCGAAAUGAGAAACAUCUAUUGGAAAUACAUUUGUGCUGACUACUCUGUACAAAGGUGAUUUGUGGUUAGUACAAUGUCAUGAUGUCCCGCCUAAGAUGUCUGUUUGACUGAAACUUCACCUACUGCCUCUUUCUUCUAAGAGGGUAUUGAUCGUUUAGCUUCCGGGAAUUGUCUUGCUCCACCUAAAUAAAAUCUGACAUUCUGUGUGGUGUAGUCAGAGUUGCUCUGACAGUGUUACUGAUCAGUGCUCUCUCCGCUUGCAAGCGAAAUAAAGCUGUUCUUUGUUCUCUAACUUUUGACUUUUGGUUUUCCCGAAAUUCCCAGAUUCCACAGUUUGGCGUCACGAACAGGAUCCUUCAGGAUUUGUCCGCACGGUGAAAACCGGGAGAGGGCUGAUCACCGAAAUCUGGAGCCCCUAAACAGGCUCCACGGUUUUUCCUCUAUCUCCAAAACGGCCUAUUUAAGAGAGGGAGGACUCCCCGGUUCUUUCCACCGGGCGGAUCGAUCGUGACAGGAUCCAAAACAACCUGUACCAAGAAAGAACAAACCAGCAAAGGCAUUAAGGAGAAAGAACUGGCGAUUCCACCGGUGGCUAGGACCGUUCCAGACCGUUCCAGGUGUUGAUGAGAGGCCUACCUAGGCCCAUGCCAGCCACUGUAAGAAGUGCUCAGGAGACAUCCCAGGGGCUUACAAAGAAGCGUCCAACUAAGCAUCUCUGAAAUAACAGAGUUGCCGACUUUCAGCACUCAGUAGCUUCUAUCUGAGAAAGAUGUCAGGAAGAAGGAGGUCCCUGGAGCUGGAGCUGGAGGAGGAACCCAACCUUUUUCCUCGAAGUAGUCCCUGGCCAUAGAGGACUGGGAUGUAUUAACAAAAUACAUCCUUCGAUUUGCCAUCACAAUCUAUGCCAUGCUCAUGUAUUGAGCACCACGGAUUCAAUUGAAGAGUGUAUGUUGUUUUGCUGUAUUCUGUGGCGGAAUAAAUGGACACAUUUAUUCUAGCA